rnacentral:rRNA from 1 species
AUUGAACGCUGGCGGCAUGCUUUACACAUGCAAGUCGAACGGUAACAGGCCGCAAGGUGCUGACGAGUGGCGAACGGGUGAGUAAUGCAUCGGAACGUGCCCAGUCGUGGGGGAUAACUACUCGAAAGAGUAGCUAAUACCGCAUACGAUCUAUGGAUGAAAGCGGGGGACCGUAAGGCCUCGCGCGAUUGGAGCGGCCGAUGUCAGAUUAGGUAGUUGGUGGGGUAAAGGCUCACCAAGCCAACGAUCUGUAGCUGGUCUGAGAGGACGACCAGCCACACUGGGACUGAGACACGGCCCAGACUCCUACGGGAGGCAGCAGGGGGGAAUUUUGGACAAUGGGCGCAAGCCUGAUCCAGCAAUGCCGCGUGCAGGAAGAAGGCCUUCGGGUUGUAAACUGCUUUUGUACGGAACGAAACGGCUCUGGUUAAUACCCGGGGCUAAUGACGGUACCGGAAGAAUAAGCACCGGCUAACUACGUG